AGACGGGGGGGGCGAGCGUUGUUCGGAAUUACUGGGCGUAAAGGGCGCGCAGGCUGUUUCGUUAGUCAGGCGUGAAAUCCCCGGGCUUAACCCGGGAACUGCGUUUGAUACUGCGAAACUAGAGAUCGGGAGAGGGUAGUGGAAUUCCCAGUGUAGAGGUGAAAUUCGUAGAUAGUGGGAAGAACACCAGUGGCGAAGGCGGCUACCUGGACCGAUACUGACGCUGAGGCGCGAAAGCGUGGGGAGCAAACAGGAUUAGAAACCCCGGUAGUCC
rnacentral:rRNA from 1 species